GCCGCGUGUGUGAAGAAGGCCUUCGGGUCGUAAAGCACUUUAAGUUGGGAGGAAGGUCUCAUAGCGAAUACCUGUGAGUUUUGACGUUUCCAACAGAAUAAGCACCGGCCAACUUCUUGCCAGCAGCCGCGGUAAUACGAAGGGUGCAAGCGUUAAUCGGAAUUACUGGGCGUAAAGCGCGCGUAGGUGGCUUGAUAAGUUGGAUGUGAAAUCCCCGGGCUCAACCUGGGAACUGCAUCCAAAACUGGCUGGCUAGAGUGGGGGAGAGGGUUGUGGAAUUUCCAGUGUAACGGGGAAAUGCGUAGAUAUUGGAAGGAAAACCAGUGGCGAAAGCGACUACCUGGACUGACACUCACACUCUAGGUGCGAAAGCGUGGGGAGCAAACAGGAUUAGAUACCCUGGUAGUCCACGCCCGUAAACGAUGUCAACUAAGCCGUUGGGAUCCUUGAGAUCUUAGUGGCACAUCUCGCGCAUUAAGUUGACCGCCUGGGAGAACACGGCGCAAGCGGUUAUAACUCAAAUAUAAUUGACACGGGGCCGCGCAAAAGCGGUGAGAACGUGUGUUUUAUUUCAACAAGCGCAAAACUCUUACUGUGCUCUACAUGCUCUAGAACUUUCCAGAUAUGGAUUGGCGCCUUCGGGAACUCAUACACACGGGCUGCACGGGUCUCUUGUAGCA
rnacentral:rRNA from 1 species